GAUCCGUUGGCGCAAUGGUAGCGUACAGACCUCCUACUUAUUUGCCAAUUAAUCAUUGGCUGUAGAGGUCAGUCUGGGGUUGCGGGUUCGAGUCCCGUGCGGAUCG